rnacentral:rRNA from 1 species
CCUACGGGGGGCAGCAGUGGGGAAUAUUGGACAAUGGGGGGAACCCUGAUCCAGCCAUGCCGCGUGUGUGAAGAAGGCCCUCGGGUUGUAAAGCACUUUCAGUGAGGAAGAACGCCUGGUGGUUAAUACCCAUCAGGAAAGACAUCACUCACAGAAGAAGCACCGGCUAACUCCGUGCCAGCAGCCGCGGUAAUACGGAGGGUGCGAGCGUUAAUCGGAAUUACUGGGCGUAAAGCGCGCGUAGGUGGCUUGAUAAGCCGGUUGUGAAAGCCCCGGGCUCAACCUGGGAACGGCAUCCGGAACUGUCAAGCUAGAGUGCAGGAGAGGAAGGUAGAAUUCCCGGUGUAGCGGUGGAAUGCGUAGAGAUCGGGAGGAAUACCAGUGGCGAAGGCGGCCUUCUGGACUGACACUGACACUGAGGUGCGAAAGCGUGGGUAGCAAACAGGAUUAGAUACCCUAGUAGUC